GCCGAGCUAGCUCAAUGGCAGAGCAGUGGUUUUGUAAACCACAGGUUCCCGGUUCGAGCCCGGGGCUCGGCU
rnacentral:tRNA from 1 species